GACGCUAAUCCUCUGCCGUCGCUCACCCAGUGCUCCCACGCAGCUCUCAGCGUGAGGAAUAUGCGUCCAAUGUUCUGUUCUCCGAUUGGUUAUCAUGACCAGUGUGACCUAUAGGGCGGCUGCCAUACUACAGUGCCCAUGAUGCAUUGCAUUUCCGUUUCCGGUGGCCAUUUUAAAACAUAGAGCGACUCUGUCCCGUAAAAUUGUUUUAUUACGGUAAAUUAAUUGAGAAUCUACCGGUAUAUUUUUCAUUUAUAAGUCGCUCUGGAGUAUAGGUUGCACCCCCGGCCAAAACAUUUAAAAAAGUGCCACUUAUAGUCCAAAAAAUACGGUAA